UACGUAGGGGGCAAGCGUUGUCCGGAUUUAUUGGGCGUAAAGAGCUCGUAGGCGGUUUGGUAAGUCUGGUGUGAAAUCUCCACGCUCAACGUGGAGGGGCCACCCGAUACUGCCAUGACUGGAGUCCGGUAGGGGAGCGUGGAAUUCCUGGUGUAGCGGUGAAAUGCGCAGAUAUCAGGAGGAACACCAGCGGCGAAGGCGGCGCUCUGGGCCGGAACUGACGCUGAGGAGCGAAAGCGUGGGGAGCAAACAGG
rnacentral:rRNA from 1 species